GCAGGGCUGCGGGGUGCGUCGCGGGCAAUGACCCGGGGGCCUAUAAGAACCGCUAGGGAGCUGUCCCUGACCGGGGUCGUGGCCCCGGACACACGGCGCCCACCUACAUUCUCGUAGGGACCCAGCGGGAUCGACGCCCGCACGGCCCAGGCGGCUCUGCA
rnacentral:other from 1 species